rnacentral:lncRNA from 1 species
CAAUUCAGAGAAAUUGUCAAAUAUACCCCACCUAAGAUUGGUAUGGAGUUAAAAAUAACCACCUAUAAUUUUUUUUGACCAUUUUACCCUUAUAAUUAAUUCAAAUUUUCGAAAAUGUCAUUGUCAUUAAAAAAACGCGCAGAUUUUUUGGGCAGAAAAACAACCCAUCGUCCUCCCCCUCCCUCAGUGCUACCAUCCGACGGGCAAGGAGAGAGUCCAACACCUUCAUGGCCGGCCGGGUCCUCCUCCUUCAUCGCCGAUUUGCAACGUCGAUAAUAGAUUUGAUCUUAUUGAACUCCCGACCUUCUGGGAGGACAUGGAAGAAGUUCGUGGAGUGUCCGACGAUGGAGUUCGUCCUGAAGAAGGUAGUUCAUCCUAAAUUUGUGUUAUGUUUCACUGAGUAAUGUCUUUCCAGAUUUUUUUUGAAUAUAUGUGAAAUAAUAAAUCGGAAGUCUCAUUUUCUUCCUAUUGGCACUGGUGAAAUCAUCCAUACUUAUUUUAGCUUACCAUUACAUAUAAAUUUAUAAAUUCUGGUAAGAUGGUUACCUGAGGAGAGCUGAUGGAAAAAAAAAUCAAUAAAAUCAGAACAGACCAUAAGCAAGAAUAGGUUCUGAAAUCAGUCUGAAAUCAAUCGCGGAGUCACAUUCUUGAAAGAAUCGCGUCUGGAAAUCUGAGUCGCGUUCUAGAAUUAAUCUCGUUCUUCAAAAUCGCAGAGACAGGAGACAGAAUCAAUCUGAAAUGUUUGCGCCGAGAAAAAAAUCGCAAAGCAAACUGGUCUCGCAAAAUCGUGCAGGACAGAAUCGCGCAGGAGAGAAAUAAAUCGCGAACAGAGUGUGGAUGAAUCACAGAAUCUCCAAGAAGUCGCAUAAUCGCGUGCUGCAAAAAUCGCUUUCUUGGGGAAGAAAUCACCAAGAAAUCGCAGAUGCAGAAUUUCAUACAAUCUGAAAUAUGGAAGAAAUCACCUAGAUCUGGAAGAAGACCGUGGAUAUAGAAAUCGCGAUGGAUCUGAAAGAAAUCCACGAAGUGUGUACAGGAAUCGCAUGCGUGUUGUAGACUUGCCGAAGA